AACGAACGCUGGCGGCAUGCCUAACACAUGCAAGUCGAACGGGAUCCUGGCUUCGGCCAGGUGAGAGUGGCGGACGGGUGAGUAACGCGUGGGAACCUGCCCAAUGGUCUGGGAUAACCGCGGGAAACUGCGGCUAAUACCGGAUAAGCCCGAGAGGGGAAAGAUUUAUCGCCGAUGGAGGGGCCCGCGUCCGAUUAGGUAGUUGGUGAGGUAACGGCUCACCAAACCGACGAUCGGUAGCUGGUCUGAGAGGAUGAUCAGCCACACUGGGACUGAGAUACGGCCCAGACUCCUACGGGAGGCAGCAGUGGGGAAUAUUGGACAAUGGGGGCAAGCCCUGAUCCAGCAAUGCCGCGUGAGUGAUGAAGGCCUUAGGGUUGUAAAGCUCUUUUGCCAGGACGAUGAUGACAGUACCUGGAGAAUAAGCCCCGGCUAACUUCGUGCCAGCAGCCGCGGUAAUACGAAGGGGCGAGCGUUGUUCGGAAUUACUGGGCGUAAAGGGCGCGUAGGCGGCGACUCAAGUUAGAUGUGAAAGUCCUGGGCUUAACCUGGGGACUGCAUUUGAUGACUGGGUUGCUUGAAUUCGGGAGAGGAUAGCGG
rnacentral:rRNA from 1 species